GGAAUACAAAACCUCCGCACACUUCAAAGAAAGCUCAAAUGCAAAUGAAACUAAUACCCGACACACUCCGGGCAUCAUCACCGUGGGCGGUCAUCAAGGGUUUUUCUCCAGAUUUGUAAAUACAAAUUUUGGGUCACAUCUCAAUCGAACUUUCAAAGCUACAGAUUAUUAGAAACCUCUUGAAAAUGCUUUUCCAACUAGACAUGAGUUUCUAUUCAUCUUCACUCACAGAAUCCGUGACAAGUAAUUUGUCAAAUUUCGGCAAGAAACAACCAAAGGAAGAGACAUUGUUCCUCGCUAUCAUGGAAGGGGCGGAGAGAUAGCGACCUCCAAUGCACUUACUCCGCGUCCAGGAGUGUCCGACCCUGCAGCAGUUGAAACAGGAGGAGCGGCUCUUACGGAGCACAUCGUGUAAUCGAUGCCUUAUUAAUCAGGAUCGGAAACAUUCGGAUUUCAUUUGCGGCGUGAAGGACCACCUCCCCUCGCACGAAGGCUUCGGGAAUUCAGUGCCUCAUGCAUUCGAGCAACAAUUUUUCACUUGAAGAAUCAUUGACAAAAACAUUACUACAGAAGCAAUCAGUUACGUAUCUGAUCAUAUCAUGCGAGCAAUCAUUUUUUCUUCAGUUUUUGUUGCUGCUGCUCUGGUAUGAAUGCUGCAUGAUUUAGUUGUUUUUUAUCAUCCCACAAUCGGUAGUGUUUGUUUACUAGAAACCAAGAUUAUCGACACUUUGAGGUCACAUGAUGUAGUUACUUCAACUGAUCUACGACAACAUUUGAGUAUACUGAUUGGCUUUCUUUCUGGAGCAACUUCAGACGUGCUUUGUUACAUUGCCUUCAAGUAUUGGUACAUUGUUCACUAGUUGCGAAAUUUAAUACAUCAACAAAAUGGGUAACUUUGCUUACGUAGAAAUCAAUAACAGGAUAGCUAAUUUUACAGCAUCUUGUGAUGUUUCAGGCUGAACUGGAUUUUAGCUGUUGUAAGGAAAUUGUGGUUGUCUAGUUACUCCCAGGUUUGAGGAAUGAUUGAGAAAUACCCUGAAAUGGUUUACCCUUAUGGUUGCAAAAUGUUACAGUUGAAUGUUUAAGAAAGAUUUGUAUAGAGAUUGUCUGAAUCAUGGCUUCAUGUUCAAACUACAGUUUGUUGUGGUUAUACACAAUAAUGUUGAUGUAAUUUUACA